AUUGAACGCUGGCGGCAGGCCUAACACAUGCAAGUCGAACGAGUGGCGGACGGGUGAGUAAUGUAUGGGGACUGCCCGAUAGAGGGGGAUAACUACUGGAAACGGUAGCUAAUACCGCAUACUAUCGGAUAACCCAUAUGGGAUUAGCUAGUUGGUGAGGUAAUGGCUCACAAAGGCGACGAUCCCUAGCUGGUCUGAGAGGAUGAUCAGCCAAACUGGGAUGGAGAAACGGCCCAGACUCCUACGGAGGCAGCAGUGGGGAAUAUUGCACAAUGGGCGCAAGCCUGAUGCAGCCAUGCCGCGUGUAUGAAGAAGGCCCUAGGGUUGUAAAGUACGUUCAGUCGGGAGGCGUUACCGACAGAAGAAGCACCGGCUAACUCCGUGCCAGCAGCCGCGGUAAUAC
rnacentral:rRNA from 1 species